rnacentral:rRNA from 1 species
ACAAGCGGCGGAGCAUGCGGAUUAAUUCGAUGCAACGCGAAGAACCUUACCAAGGCUUGACAUACACCGGUAACGCCCAGAGAUGGGUGCCCCUUUGUGGUCGGUGGACAGGUGGUGCAUGGUUGUCGUCAGCUCGUGUCGUGAGAUGUUGGGUUAAGUCCCGCAACGAGCGCAACCCUCGUCCUAUGUUGCCAGCGGGUCAUGCCGGGGACUCAUGGGAGGCUGCCGGGGUCAACUCGGAGGAAGUGGGGAUGACGUCAAAUCAUCAUGCCCCUUAUGUCUUGGGCUUCACGCAUGCUACAAUGGCCGGUACAAAGGGCUGCGAUACCGCGAGGUGGAGCGAAUCCCAGAAAGCCGGUCUCAGUUCGGAUUGGGGUCUGCAACUCGACCCCAUGAAGUCGGAGUCGCUAGUAAUCGCAGAUCAGCAACGCUGCGGUGAAUACGUUCCCGGGUCUU